CUGAACAAGGGAAGAGUGGCCCUGGCUUGCCAUUGAUUGUGUGAGCAUCAGACAUAUUUGGUGGCAGUCCCAUGCGCGAUCCUUGGUUGACAACUGCCUCGACAUCAUUAUUCCACCAUUCUCCUGCACCAGAGCUUCUACAGAAAAUGAGAUUAAUCCUAUACAACUAGCAACAAAGAGAAAUGUCAGACGAUGAACGAACCAAACCAAGCUGGCCAUUUUCUUUUGGCAAUGAUAAUUUUUGAGGUAAUGUAAAUAUGAAUGAUAACGAAUGAUUUCAAAUGUGAACAAUGCCAAAUAUUUAUACCAUUCAAAAAGCUGCGCUGAUUUUGAAGGUCUUUUAAUAAGAAGUUGGUAGGAAUUGUGGAAGGGUCUCCAUAGCCAAAGCUUGCAAGCAAAAUACUGAUAGAGACUACUUGCCUUGCUUUUGACUAACUUGGAGGUUGAGAUUUCCAAAUGAAAGAGAAAGUUAGACUUGCUGUUCACUUGAACUUAUGUUCAAUUCAUAUAUUACAAAGUUACAUUGUUGCACAAAAAAGUUGUUUAGGACCUAUCUGAUAACGUUUUUCUGUUAUUUUUUUUCGGAAAAACAUAAUUGGAUUACGAACAUUGUCUAUUCAUCAUUCUCAUUUUCUUACAUAAA